rnacentral:rRNA from 1 species
CCUGAUUUUUAUAGGAGGUCUAGCCUGCCCAGUGACAAAGUUAAACGGCCGCGGUACCCUAACCGUGCAAAGGUAGCGCAAUCACUUGUUCUUUAAAUGAGGACUAGUAUGAACGGCAUCACGAGGGUUAUGCUGUCUCCCUACUUUAUUCAGUGAAACUGAUCUCCCCGUGAAGAGGCGGGGAUAAAAAUAUAAGACGAGAAGACCCCAUGGAGCUUUAAACUCAGUGUCAACUGCCAUAUUUAAAACCUAAUAUUCAAGCAAGUUAUGACUACUAGUUUUCGGUUGGGGUGACCACGGAGUAAAACCUAACCUCCACGAUGAAAGGAAAUAACAGCCUAAAUUAAGAGCUACAGCUCUAAAUAUCAAUAAAUUGACUUAUUGAUCCAAUUAAUUGAUCAACGAACCA